GACGAACGCUGGCGGCGUGCUUAACACAUGCAAGUCGAACGAUGAAGCCUAGCUUGCUGGGUGGAAGAGUGGCGAACGGGUGAGUAACACGUGAGUAACCUGCCUAUCACUCUGGGAUAAGCGCUGGAAACGGCGUCUAAUACUGGAUAUGUCCCAUCACCGCAUGGUGUGUGGGUGGAAAGAUUUAUCGGUGGUAGAUGGACUCGCGGCCUAUCAGCUUGUUGGUGAGGUAAUGGCUCACCAAGGCGACGACGGGUAGCCGGCCUGAGAGGGGGACCGGCCACACUGGGACUGAGACACGGCCCAGACUCCUACGGGAGGCAGCAGUGGGGAAUAUUGCACAAUGGGCGCAAGCCUGAUGCAGCAACGCCGCGUGAGGGAUGACGGCCUUCGGGUUGUAAACCUCUUUUAGUAGGGAAGAAGCGAAAGUGACGGUACCUGCAGAAAAAGCACCGGCUAACUACGUGCCAGCAGCCGCCGUAA
rnacentral:rRNA from 1 species